CGGCGUGGUUAAGACAUGCAAGUCGAACGGAGUAUUCUGGUAGCAAUAUCAGGGUACUUAGUGGCAAACGGGUGCGUAACACGUGGAUAACAUUCCAGAAAGCGCGGGAUAGCCCAGGGAAACUUGGAUUAAUACCGCAUGUGGUCGCAAGACUAAAGGCGCAAGCCGCUUUCUGAUUGGUCCGCGGCCUAUCAGCUAGUUGGUGAGGUAAAAGCUCACCAAGGCAACGACGGGUAGCUGGUCUGAGAGGACGACCAGCCACACUGGAACUGAGACACGGUCCAGACACCUACGGGUGCCAGC
rnacentral:rRNA from 1 species